rnacentral:rRNA from 1 species
CAGGCUUAACACAUGCAAGUCGAGGGGCAUCAGGAAGAAAGCUUGCUUUCUUUGCUGGCGACCGGCGCACGGGUGAGUAACACGUAUCCAACCUGCCCUUUACUCGGGGAUAGCCUUUCGAAAGAAAGAUUAAUACCCGAUGGCAUAAUGAUUCCGCAUGGUUUCAUUAUUAAAGGAUUCCGGUAAAGGAUGGGGAUGCGUUCCAUUAGGUUGUUGGUGAGGUAACGGCUCACCAAGCCUUCGAUGGAUAGGGGUUCUGAGAGGAAGGUCCCCCACAUUGGAACUGAGACACGGUCCAAACUCCUACGGGAGGCAGCAGUGAGGAAUAUUGGUCAAUGGGCGCUAGCCUGAACCAGCCAAGUAGCGUGAAGGAUGAAGGCUCUAUGGGUCGUAAACUUCUUUUAUAUAAGAAUAAAGUGCAGUAUGUAUACUGUUUUGUAUGUAUUAUAUGAAUAAGGAUCGGCUAACUCCGUGCCAGCAGCCGCGGUAAUACGGAGGAUCCGAGCGUUAUCCGGAUUUAUUGGGUUUAAAGGGAGCGUAGGUGGACUGGUAAGUCAGUUGUGAAAGUUUGCGGCUCAACCGUAAAAUUGCAGUUGAUACUGUCAGUCUUGAGUACAGUAGAGGUGGGCGGAAUUCGUGGUGUAGCGGUGAAAUGCUUAGAUAUCACGAAGAACUCCGAUUGCGAAGGCAACUCACUGGACUGCAACUGACACUGAUGCUCGAAAGUGUGGGUAUCAAACAGGAUUAGAUACCCUGGUAGUCCACACAGUAAACGAUGAAUACUCGCUGUUUGCGAUAUACAGUAAGCGGCCAAGCGAAAGCAUUAAGUAUUCCACCUGGGGGGUACGCCGGCAACGGUGAAACUCAAAGGAAUUGACGGGGGCCCGCACAAGCGGAGGAACAUGUGGUUUAAUUCGAUGAUACGCGAGGAACCUUACCCGGGCUUAAAUUGCAGUGGAAUGAUGUGGAAACAUGUCAGUGAGCAAUCACCGCUGUGAAGGUGCUGCAUGGUUGUCGUCAGCUCGUGCCGUGAGGUGUCGGCUUAAGUGCCAUAACGAGCGCAACCCUUAUCUUUAGUUACUAACAGGUCAUGCUGAGGACUCUAGAGAGACUGCCGUCGUAAGAUGUGAGGAAGGUGGGGAUGACGUCAAAUCAGCACGGCCCUUACGUCCGGGGCUACACACGUGUUACAAUGGGGGGUACAGAAGGCAGCUAGCGGGUGACCGUAUGCUAAUCCCAAAAUCCUCUCUCAGUUCGGAUCGAAGUCUGCAACCCGACUUCGUGAAGCUGGAUUCGCUAGUAAUCGCGCAUCAGCCACGGCGCGGUGAAUACGUUCCCGGGCCUUGUACACACCGCCCGUCAAGCCAUGGGAGCCGGGGGUACCUGAAGUACGUAACCGCAAGGAUCGUCCUAGGGUAAAACUGGUGACUG